GACGAACGCUGGCGGCGUGCUUAACACAUGCAAGUCGAACGGAAAGGCCCUGCUUUUGUGGGGUGCUCGAGUGGCGAACGGGUGAGUAACACGUGAGUAACCUGCCCUUGACUUUGGGAUAACUUCAGGAAACUGGGGCUAAUACCGGAUAGGAGCUCCUGCUGCAUGGUGGGGGUUGGAAAGUUUCGGCGGUUGGGGAUGGACUCGCGGCUUAUCAGCUUGUUGGUGGGGUAGUGGCUUACCAAGGCUUUGACGGGUAGCCGGCCUGAGAGGGUGACCGGCCAAAUUGGGAAUGAGAUACGGCCCAGACUCCUACGGGAGGGAGCAGUGGGGAAUAUUGCACAAUGGGCGGAAGCCUGAUGCAGCAACGCCGCGUGCGGGAUGACGGCCUUCGGGUUGUAAACCGCUUUCGCCUGUGACGAAGCGUGAGUGACGGUAAUGGGUAAAGAAGCACCGGCUAACUACGUG
rnacentral:rRNA from 1 species